rnacentral:rRNA from 1 species
UGGGGAAUUUUGGACAAUGGGGGAAACCCUGAUCCAGCCAUCCCGCGUGUGCGAUGAAGGCCUUCGGGUUGUAAAGCACUUUUGGCAGGAAAGAAACGUCAUGGGUUAAUACCCCGUGAAACUGACGGUACCUGCAGAAUAAGCACCGGCUAACUACGUGCCAGCAGCCGCGGUAAUACGUAGGAUGCAAGCGUUAAUCGGAAUUACUGGGCGUAAAGCGUGCGCAGGCGGUUCGGAAAGAAAGAUGUGAAAUCCCAGAGCUCAACUUUGGAACUGCAUUUUUAACUACCGGGCUAGAGUGUGUCAGAGGGAGGUGGAAUUCCGCGUGUAGCAGUGAAAUGCGUAGAUAUGCGGAGGAACACCGAUGGCGAAGGCAGCCUCCUGGGAUAACACUGACGCUCGUGCACGAAAGCGUGGGGAGCAAACAGG